GACGAACGCUGGCGGCGUGCCUAAUACAUGCCAGUAGAACGCACAGUUUAUACCGUAGCUUGCUACACCAUAGACUGUGAGUUGCGAACGGGUGAGUAACGCGUAGGUAACCUGCCUGGUAGCGGGGGAUAACUAUUGGAAACGAUAGCUAAUACCGCAUAAUAUUAAUUAUUGCAUGAUAAUUAAUUGAAAGGUGCAAUUGCACCACUACCAGAUGGACCUGCGUUGUAUUAGCUAGUAGGUGAGGUAACGGCUCACCUAGGCGACGAUACAUAGCCGACCUGAGAGGGUGAUCGGCCACACUGGGACUGAGACACGGCCCAGACUCCUACGGGAGGCAGCAGUAGGGAAUCUUCGGCAAUGGACGAAAGUCUGACCGAGCAACGCCGCGUGAGUGAAGAAGGUUUUCGGAUCGUAAAGCUCUGUUGUAAGAGAAGAACGGGUGUGAGAGUGGAAAGUUCACACUGUGACGGUAUCUUACCAGAAAGGGACGGCUAACUACGU
rnacentral:rRNA from 1 species